UACAGAGGGUGCGAGCGUUGUCCGGAAUCAUUGGGCGUAAAGAGCGUGUAGGCGGUUUGGUAGGUCCGCUGUGAAAACUCGAGGCUCAACCUCGAGACGCCGGUGGAAACCAUCAGACUAGAGUCCGGAAGAGGAGAGUGGAAUUCCUGGUGUAGCGGUGAAAUGCGCAGAUAUCAGGAGGAACACCGAUGGCGAAGGCAGGUCUCUGGGCCGAUACUGACGCUGAGGAGCGAAAGCGUGGGGAGCGAACAGG
rnacentral:rRNA from 1 species